rnacentral:rRNA from 1 species
UACGUAGGGGGCGAGCGUUGUCCGGAUUUAUUGGGCGUAAAGAGCUCGUAGGCGGCUUGGCAAGUCGGGUGUGAAACCUCCAGGCUCAACCUGGAGACGCCACUCGAUACUGCCAUGGCUAGAGUCCUGGAGAGGAAGGUGGAAUGCUUGGUGUAGAGGUGAAAUUCGUAGAUAUCAAGCGGAACACCGGUGGCGAAGGCGGCCUUCUGGACAGUGACUGACGCUGAGACGCGAAAGCGUGGGGAGCAAACAGG